CAAGUCGCGAGGCUUGGGCGAGAAGAAGGGAUAGCUAAAGCACAGCCUGACGAACAGGAACCUAAUACCAAGGCGCAUACGGCGGAUAAGUGGACUAUAAGUCACGAAGUCCAAAAGGUAGUCGUAACCUGUAUGCGUAGAUUAGGCAGGUAGAUGAGGAAAGAAUGAC
rfam:Mogibacterium pumilum strain ATCC 700696 genome.